rnacentral:siRNA from 1 species
UUGCCAGGUUCAUUUAUCUAUUGG